GAUGAACGCUGGCGGCGUGCCUAAUACAUGCAAGUCGAGCGAAUGGAUUAAGAGCUUGCUCUUAUGAAGUUAGCGGCGGACGGGUGAGUAACACGUGGGUAACCUGCCCAUAAGACUGGGAUAACUCCGGGAAACCGGGGCUAAUACCGGAUAACAUUUUGAACCGCAUGGUUCGAAAUUGAAAGGCGGCUUCGGCUGUCACUUAUGGAUGGACCCGCGUCGCAUUAGCUAGUUGGUGAGGUAACGGCCCACCAAGGCAACGAUGCGUAGCCGACCUGAGAGGGUGAUCGGCCAUACUGGGACUGAGACACGGCCCAGACUCCUACGGGAGGCAGCAGUAGGGAAUCUUCCGCAAUGGACGAAAGUCUGACGGAGCAACGCCGCGUGAGUGAUGAAGGCUUUCGGGUCGUGAAACUCUGUUGUUAGGGAAGAACAAGUGCUAGUUGAAUAAGCUGGCACCUUGACGGUACCUAACCAGAAAGCCACGGCUAACUACGUGCCAGCAGCCGCAGUAA
rnacentral:rRNA from 1 species